UGAGGAAUAUUGGACAAUGGUCGGAAGACUGAUCCAGCCAUGCCGCGUGCAGGAAGACGGCCUUAUGGGUUGUAAACUGCUUUUGCAGGGGAAGAAUAAGGACUACGUGUAGUUUGAUGACGGUACUCUGCGAAUAAGCAUCGGCUAACUCCGUGCCAGCAGCCGCGGUAAUACGGAGGAUGCGAGCGUUAUCCGGAAUCAUUGGGUUUAAAGGGUCCGUAGGCGGGCUAAUAAGUCAGAGGUGAAAGCGCUCAGCUCAACUGAGCAACUGCCUUUGAAACUGUUAGUCUUGAAUGGUUGUGAAGUAGUUGGAAUGUGUAGUGUAGCGGUGAAAUGCUUAGAUAUUACACAGAACACCGAUAGCGAAGGCAUAUUACUAACAAUUAAUUGACGCUGAUGGACGAAAGCGUGGGUAGCGAACAGGAUUAGAUACCCUGGUAGUCCACGCUGUAAACGAUGCUGACUCGUUUUUGGUUUGUAAGAAUCAGAGGCUAAGCGAAAGUGAUAAGUCAGCCACCUGGGGAGUACGACCGCAAGGUUG
rnacentral:rRNA from 1 species